rnacentral:rRNA from 1 species
GACGAACGCUGGCGGCGUGCCUAAUACAUGCAAGUAGAACGCUGAAGGAGGAGCUUGCUUCUCUGGAUGAGUUGCGAACGGGUGAGUAACGCGUAGGUAACCUGCCUGGUAGCGGGGGAUAACUAUUGGAAACGAUAGCUAAUACCGCAUAAGAGUAGAUGUCGCAUGACAUUUGCUUAAAAGGUGCAAUUGCAUCACUACCAGAUGGACCUGCGUUGUAUUAGCUAGUUGGUGAGGUAACGGCUCACCAAGGCAACGAUACAUAGCCGACCUGAGAGGGGGAUCGGCCACACUGGGACGGAGACACGGCCCAGACUCCUACGGGAGGCAGCAGUAGGGAAUCUUCGGCAAUGGACGGAAGUCUGACCGAGCAACGCCGCGUGAGUGAAGAAGGUUUUCGGAUCGUAAAGCUCUGUUGUAAGAGAAGAACGAGUGUGAGAGUGGAAAGUUCACACUGUGACGGUAUCUUACCAGAAAGGGACGGCUAACUACGUG